UUGCCAUAAACAUAAUCACAAACGAUACCUUAAUAGUCGCUUCCAGAUCAUACAGAGAAGGACCAAAAUCUUACGGGUUAUCAUUCUCGUCAGUGCCAUUUUUUUUCUAAGUUUGGUCUUAUUAUCAACCAUCCCGCAGUCCUGGGCCCGGUUCUCUCCUUCGGGGUUCCUUUUAGGAUAGUAGCCUUCUUCAGUGGUCCUCAAUUCCUGUUGGUGGAUGUGUGGAAGCGCCCCCUGACCUACCCGCGCGGGUGCUUGUGAAUGCUCUUGUGUAGAGCUCUAGAACAGAGUAGGGUAGUCUUCGUGAAACAGUGGAUGGAGGAACGGAAACCUCAGUCCGGUCGUUUUGUCGUCUUCACAGAGUAGAAAAUCAACAGCAGCCCUCAUCUGAAACAGUGCUAGUGUCCAUGUACUACAGAUCCAUGUAUGGACACCGACAGGAGAGAGGGCUCAGUGCCUGACGUUCCCUCGCAAAUACAUGCACUUGCAAGGCAAGAACACGAAAUAUCUCCCAGGAAGCGGUGUUUUUCCGAUAGAUACACAAUUAAUGCUCAAACAGUGCCAUGACACAAUCAUGAUUCGUUGGUGAAAAGUGCCUCAAUACGAAGGAUUGCUAGGUGUUCAAGUGUGGGUGCUCCAUAAGUUCCAAGAACAAGGUAAGAGGGCUGCACAAUCCUAAGGUAUGAAUCAUGAUCAACUUGGCAUUGGAGCUGCCAAGGUGGUAACAGGUAGCCAAGACCUGUCUCUCACGGCCGGCCAUUCAGAAGAGCGAGAAUUCGUGAAGGUGAAGAUCCUCUCUUGGCCAGGCCAACCAUUGGUUGUUCUAACAGUGCAUGACGGCCGAAUCCCAAGCUGUAAUAUUCCCUACGACAUUCAAAUCCAAUAUGACGUGACCUAUUUCACAUUUCUCAUAAGAGUCUUGUGAUCUCUACUUGAAACGAGUUCCAAAAAAACAGGUGCUUUGUGAAGACAUAAUGUGUGGCUCAUCACCCGGAUAUGCUGUAUGUUGUGAGAACUUCAUAACCGAGGUCCCAUUAAAUGGCCAAAGCAAACUCAUAAAGUACAAAAUGAUUGGAAAAAUGUAGAAUGUUGCUAACUUUAGCUCAAAGGAAGUUUCAUAAUCGACGGAGGAUUGCCAUAUUGAUUUUCUUGCAAGUGGAGCGGCAAGCAUUUGAUCGUGGAUUUAAUGUACUUGACAUCGUGUGAUAUCACGAACUGGUAUUUGAAAUCUGUAAUUAUUUUUUGA